rnacentral:sRNA from 1 species
AAUAAACCCGCGUGAAGGAUUGAAGCGAUAUCCUUUUUGUUUUUCACAAAAAGAUUUAGCGGAAAGCCUGACCCGAU